CCUACGGGUCGCACCAGUGGGGAAUAUUGCACAAUGGGCGCAAGCCUGAUGCAGCCAUGCCGCGUGUAUGAAGAAGGCCUUCGGGUUGUAAAGUACUUUCAGCGGGGAGGAAGGCGAUAAGGUUAAUAACCUUGUCGAUUGACGUUACCCGCAGAAGAAGCACCGGCUAACUCCGUGCCAGCAGCCGCGGUAAUACGGAGGGUGCAAGCGUUAAUCGGAAUUACUGGGCGUAAAGCGCACGCAGGCGGUCUGUCAAGUCGGAUGUGAAAUCCCCGGGCUCAACCUGGGAACUGCAUUCGAAACUGGCAGGCUGGAGUCUUGUAGAGGGGGGUAGAAUUCCAGGUGUAGCGGUGAAAUGCGUAGAGGUCUGGAGGAAUACCGGUGGCAAAGGCGGCCCCCUGGACAAAGACUGACGCUCAGGUGCGAAAGCGUGGGGAGCAAACACGACUAGACACCCUUGUAGUC
rnacentral:rRNA from 1 species